rnacentral:rRNA from 1 species
GCUCGCAAGAGUGAACGAGCUAACUGAAGGAACAUUUUUCUAACGGAUUGAUCCCUAACUAGGGCAAUUAUACAACAAUCCUAAUAGUGUCGUCCAAAAUCUGGUGCCAGAAGACUCGGUAAUACCAGAGACGCGAACGUUAAUCAUCUUAAAUGGGCAUAAAGGGUUUGUAGGCAGCUUUAAUAAAAAUAAAGAUAGAAUCUAAUAGAGGUUAAGAUAAUACUUAGAGUAGGGCUCAAAUUCUCAAAUACUAAGGGGAAUACUAGAUGCGAAGGCUCUUUUCCUUAAAAGAUUGACGCUGAGACACGAAGGUGCGGGUAGGAAAUAGGAUUAGAGACCCUGGUACUCCACACUGUAAACGAUGAAUGGAAGGUAUUUAUACGAUAUAUAAGUGCCGAAGUGAACAACAAUAACCAUUCCGCCUUGCUAGUAUACUUGCAAAAGUGAAAACAAAAAAAUUAGUCGGUCCUAGAGCAAACG